rnacentral:tRNA from 1 species
GGGGCUGUAGCUCAAUGGUAGAGCACUUGCCUUAGCAUGUCCAAGGCCCUGGAUUCAGUCCCCAGUACUCCCC